AUUCCGUAAGGGGAACCUGCGGAGGGAUCAUUACCCGAGUUAUAACAACUCCCAACCCUUGCGCACCGUACCCAAGCCUGUUCUCGUUGCUUCCUGGCGGGGGCGCGCGCCCGCGCGCGCGCCCGCCGCCAGGGGCGGCGAGCCUCGCCGACCUAUUUUCUAAACAAAGAACACGAGAGCGCGUCUGAGCAAACACAAAAACAGUCAAAACUUUCAACAACGGAUCUCUUGGCUCUGGCAUCGAUGAAGAACGCAGCGAAAUGCGAUACGUAAUGUGAAUUGCAGAAUUCCGCGAACCAUCGAAUCUUUGAACGCACAUUGCGCCUGCCAGCAUUCUGGCAGGCAUGCCUGUCCGAGCGUCAUUUCUCCCCUCAGCGCCCCGCGGCGCUGGUGUUGGGGCACCCCCCGCCUGGCGGAGGGGGCCCUCAAAGCCAGUGGCGGGCCCGGCUGGUUGGCUCCGAGCGCAGUACUGGACGCACGUCCUCCCCUCGCUCCGCAGCCCCGGCCGGCGCCCAGCCGUCGAAACACACCCCCUUCUCGCAAGGUUGACCUCGGAUCAGGUAGGACUACCCGCUGAACUUAAGCAUAUCAAUAGCCGGGGGGAA
rnacentral:rRNA from 1 species